UGGUGCCGUGACUCGGAUGGGGGGAAACUCCCUUGGGAGAUCAAUCCACUGUCCUCCUGCCCUUUGCUCUGUGAGAAAGAUCCACCUACGAACUUGGGUCCUCAGACCAACCAGCCCAAGGAACAUCUCACCAAUUUUAAAUCCGAUCUGCUUGGCUUAGUGGCUGAUGACUGAUGCUGCCCAAUCGCAUUGGAAGCCCCUGGACCAUCACGGAUGCCGAGCUUCGGGUAACUCUCACGAUGGAGGGCUGGCCAUCAUGUCUCCGUGUGGCGUCAGAUCCCAUUGCUCUAGGCAACGCUUAUGCCGAUAAGGUGGCUAGACAAGCAACUAGCAUUCCAACUUCUGUCCCUCAAUGAUAGAUGUGGAAGAUACUAUGGCACAGCCUGCCUUUGCUGGUAUACAUUCACAUGGCCUGAAGCAAGUGAAGAAUCACAAAAGAAGUGAAAAUGGCCGGUUCCUGCCUUAACUGAUGACAUUCCACCAUUGUGAUUUGUUUCUGCCCCACCUUAACUGAGCGAUUAACCUUGUGAAAUUCCUUCUCCUGCCUCAGAACCUCCCCCACUGAGCACCUUGUGACCCCCGCCCCUGCCCGCAAGAGAACAACCCCCUUUGAUUGUAAUUUUCCACUACCCACCCACAUCCUAUAAAACAGCCCCACCCCUAUCUCCCUUCGCUGACUCUCUUUUCGGAUUCAGCCCGCCUGCACCCAGGUGACUAAAAAGCUUUAUUGCUCACACAAAUCCUGUUUGGUGGUCUCUUCACACAGGCCCGAGUCCCUAGAAAAGAGUGACAGCAAUACGGACCGAAGUAUUCAGGUGGGUUUAAAGAAUAGGUUGGGAUUUUGAGCAGUCCUUUCAGAAGGGUAGAAUCUGUUUAAGUUGAUUUAAGUAGAAUAUUACAUUUAAUCACAUGCAUCAUACGGCGUUCCCACAAGAAACAGAUUUCACUCCCAAGGUUUAAAUGAAGAUAAUUUAACAAGAGUGACAAAACUAAAAGGAGACAUUGAGGCAUCCAAAGAGUAGUAGAAGCAGGAAAUGGUUACCACUUUUAGGCCCCCAUCAAAGGGAUAGGGGGAGGCCUCUGAAGACUGGAAUCACGGAGGUGGGGCUGUCUGAUGGGAGGGCUGUUGCUGCUGCCAGAGAUCAACACUGAGUUGGAUAAAUUGAAAAGAAAUACCUACAAUUUUCUUGCCUCUCAACCUCCAAUCCUCUGUCAAUGGGAAGCUAGCCAACAAAAGGGCCCAGCGAUAUUCUGUGGGAAUUAGCCUGCCUGGAAACAGAACAGGAAAGAGGUGGAGAAGAAGCCUGAGAGCUGCAAAGGGAGUGUAGCAAACCGAAAUGAGCCAGGAGAGCAUGUUUUCAGAAUGUUGCCUUCUUUUGUAUUGCAUACUUGUUGUGUAAAGUGACAGCAAACUAAACAAAUAUUGUAUCA